rnacentral:rRNA from 1 species
UACGGAGGAUCCAAGCGUUAUCCGGAUUUAUUGGGUUUAAAGGGUACGUAGGCGGCUUAUUAAGUCAGGGGUGAAAGACGGUGGCUCAACCAUCGCAGUGCCCUUGAUACUGAUGAGCUUGAAUACACUUGAGGUAGGCGGAAUGUGACAAGUAGCGGUGAAAUGCAUAGAUAUGUCACAGAACACCAAUUGCGAAGGCAGCUUACUAAGGUGCAAUUGACGCUGAGGCACGAAAGCGUGGGGAUCAAACAGG